rnacentral:rRNA from 1 species
AUUGAACGCUGGCGGCAUGCUUUACACAUGCAAGUCGAACGGGCCGGGGGCAACUCCGGUCAGUGGCGAACGGGUGAGUAAUGCAUCGGAACGUGUCCCGUAGUGGGGGAUAACGCCGCGAAAGCGGCGCUAAUACCGCAUAUGCUCUGAGGAGGAAAGUGGGGGACCCGCAAGGGCCUCAUGCUAUGGGAGCGGCCGAUGUCCGAUUAGCUUGUUGGUGGGGUAAUGGCCUACCAAGGCGACGAUCGGUAGCUGGUCUGAGAGGAUGAUCAGCCAC